rnacentral:rRNA from 1 species
AGAAAGAAAAUUCGAUUCCCUUAGUAGCGGCGAGCGAAACGGGAAGAGCCCAAACCAACAAGCUUGCUUGUUGGGGUUGUAGGACACUCUAUACGGAGUUACAAAGGACGACAUUAGACGAAUCAUCUGGAAAGAUGAAUCAAAGAAGGUAAUAAUCCUGUAGUCGAAAAUGUUGUCUCUCUUGAGUGGAUCCUGAGUACGACGGAGCACGUGAAAUUCCGUCGGAAUCUGGGAGGACCAUCUCCUAAGGCUAAAUACUCUCUAGUGACCGAUAGUGAACCAGUACCGUGAGGAAAAGGUGAAAAGCACCCCGGAAGGGGAGUGAAAUAGAACCUGAAACCGUGUGCUUACAAGUAGUCAGAGCCCGUUAAUGGGUGAUGGCGUGCCUUUUGUAGAAUGAACCGGCGAGUUACGAUUUGAUGCAAGGUUAAGCAGUAAAUGUGGAGCCGUAGCGAAAGCGAGUCUGAAUAGGGCGUUUAGUAUUUGGUCGUAGACCCGAAACCAGGUGAUCUACCCUUGGUCAGGUUGAAGUUCAGGUAACACUGAAUGGAGGACCGAACCGACUUACGUUGAAAAGUGAGCGGAUGAACUGAGGGUAGCGGAGAAAUUCCAAUCGAACCUGGAGAUAGCUGGUUCUCUCCGAAAUAGCUUUAGGGCUAGCCUCAAGUGAUGAUUAUUGGAGGUAGAGCACUGUUUGGACGAGGGGCCCCUCUCGGGUUACCGAAUUCAGACAAACUCCGAAUGCCAAUUAAUUUAACUUGGGAGUCAGAACAUGGGUGAUAAGGUCCGUGUUCGAAAGGGAAACAGCCCAGACCACCAGCUAAGGUCCCAAAAUAUAUGUUAAGUGGAAAAGGAUGUGGCGUUGCCCAGACAACUAGGAUGUUGGCUUAGAAGCAGCCAUCAUUUAAAGAGUGCGUAAUAGCUCACUAGUCGAGUGACACUGCGCCGAAAAUGUACCGGGGCUAAACAUAUUACCGAAGCUGUGGAUUGUCCUUUGGACAAUGGUAGGAGAGCGUUCUAAGGGCGUUGAAGCAUGAUCGUAAGGACAUGUGGAGCGCUUAGAAGUGAGAAUGCCGGUGUGAGUAGCGAAAGACGGGUGAGAAUCCCGUCCACCGAUUGACUAAGGUUUCCAGAGGAAGGCUCGUCCGCUCUGGGUUAGUCGGGUCCUAAGCUGAGGCCGACAGGCGUAGGCGAUGGAUAACAGGUUGAUAUUCCUGUACCACCUAUA